GAGCAUGCUAUAAUGCUCCUUUUAAGAUCCCUGGACGAUUCAAUCAACAACAUAAACCAGAGCACGUGCUUGAGCUUGUACCACCACGGAUAAUACAUGUGCCUCCCUACCAUUUAGAUGAAGAUGGUGCUGAAUUUCAGGAAGACCUAGAAAAUAUCCCUGCUGCUCCCAUUCCACAAGAUCUUGAGCUUGUACCACCAGAGAUAAUAGCUAUGCUUUCCUACCAGUCAGAUGAAGAUGGUGCCGAAUUUCAGGAAGACCUAGAAAUUAUCCCUGCUGCUCCCAUUCCGCAAGAUCCAGAAAAUGGCCCUAACAAUGUGCCAAAUGUUUAUCCUGCCUUUGUAAUGUCAGUUGAUAACUUAGAUCCAGAUGAUGAUUCUGAUGACGGUGCUUCACCGGAUGUG
rnacentral:lncRNA from 1 species